CGGGCGGCCGUGACCCUGCUGGAGUGCGGGGGGGACCUCCAGCCCCCCGGGGGGUCCCUGACUCUGCUCUGCCGUGGAUCUGGAUUCGAUUUUGGGGGUUAUGGAAUGAUCUGGAUCCGCCAAAGACCCGGAAAGGGAUUGGAAUAUGUUGCAGAGAUUGACUAUGAUGACGACACUUACUACGCGCCGUCGGUGCAGGGUCGGUUCUCGAUCUCCAGGGACAACGGGCAGAGCUCGGUGACGCUGACCAUGAACAGCCUCAAGGACGAGGAUUCCGCCGUUUAUUUCUGUGCCAAAAGUGCUGUUGCUGGAACUGAGAGCAGUGGAAUUGGGAAAACCAAACAAGGAGGAGGUGGUGAAAGAGUGGGAGGAACGGCCAAGAGUUGA